rnacentral:rRNA from 1 species
GAUGAACGCUGGCGGCGUGCCUAAUACAUGCAAGUCGAGCGAACAGACGAUGAGCUUUCUCCUCUGACGUUAGCGGCUGACGGGUGAGUAACACGUGGAUAACCUACCUAUAAGUCUUGGAUAACUUCGUGAAACCGGUGCUAAUACCGGAUAAUAUAUUCAACCGCAUGGUUCAAUAGUUCUAGACGGUUUUGCUGUCACUUAUAGAUGGAUUGGCGACGGAUUAGCUAGUUGGUAAGGUAACGGCUUACCAAGGAGACGAUGCGUAGCCGACCUGAGAGGGUGAUCAGCAACACUGGAACUGAGACACGGUCCAGACUCCUAAGGGAGGCAGCAGUGGGGAAUAUUGGACAAUGGGCGAAAGCCUGAUGAAGAAAUACCGCGUGAGUGAAGAAGGACUUCGGGUUGUAAAGCCCUGUUGUUGGGAAAGAAAAGAAGAAGGAGAAAACAUCGACGUCCUGACGGUACCAAAAGAAAAAGCAACGGCUAACUUCGUG